rnacentral:rRNA from 1 species
GAUGAACGCUGGCGGCGUGCCUAAUACAUGCAAGUCGAGCGAACAGAUGAGGAGCUUGCUCCUCUGACGUUAGCGGCGGACGGGUGAGUAACACGUGGAUAACCUACCUAUAAGACUGGGAUAACUUCGGGAAACCGGAGCUAAUAACGGAUAAUAUAUUGAACCGCAUGGUUCAAUAGUGAAAGACGGUUUUGCUGUCACUUAUAGAUGGAGCCGCGACGCAUUAGCUAGUUGGUAAGGUAACGGCUUACCAAGGCAACGAUGCGUAGCCGACCUGAGAGGGUGAUCGGCCACACUGGAACUGAGACACGGUCCAGACUCCUACGGGAGGCAGCAGUAGGGAAUCUUCCGCAAUGGGCGAAAGCCUGACGGAGCAACGCCGCGUGAGUGAUGAAGGUCUUCGGAUCGUAAAACUCUGUUAUUAGGGAAGAACAAAUGUGUAAGUAACUAUGCACGUCUUGACGGUACCUAAUCAGAAAGCCACGGCUAACUACGUG